rnacentral:rRNA from 1 species
UACGUAGGUGGCAAGCGUUGUCCGGAUUUACUGGGCGUAAAGAGCGCGCAGGCGGUCGAAUAAGUCGAAUGUGAAAGCCCCCGGCUCAACUGGGGAGGGUCAUUCGAUACUGUUCGACUUGAAGGUAGGAGAGAGAAGCAGAAUUCCCGGUGUAGUGGUGAAAUGCGUAGAGUAUCGGGAGGAAUACCAGUGGCGAAGGCGGCUUCUUGGCCUAUUCUUGACGCUGAGGC